UUGAAGCUUGGCCGAAGACACUGGACUACUCGGUGGAAGAAGGAACGGAGAUGAAGUUGUAGGCGUUGAAGUUUUUGGUCAACAAAAAUGGCCUUCUGCUGGGCCUUGACCGAAGGAAAUGGAUGCUUGGACGAGUGGCGUGCAGAGGAGAAUCCAACGGAGUUGUGGGCGUGUGAGUGGAUGAAGAUGGAGAAGAAAUGAUGGAGUGAAAUGGUGGGGCGGCUUCAGAGGGCAGUCGAGCAUCACCAAAAUGAAAGAAAAGAAUAACAGGAGGGGGAUUGGAGAAGC
rnacentral:lncRNA from 1 species